GGCCCCGUGACACGGCCCGGGCAUGGGGGGCGCCGGGCCGGGGUGGGGGCCUGCGGGCCUGUGGGUGACGCUGGCGCUGGCCUGGAGCGCAGGAGUGGUUCUGGCCGCGGAGGAGCCGGCCGAGCCGUGCGGGGCGGACGUGUGGGCGCAGGACGCCGUCCCGCCGGGCGCGGCCUUCGUCGCCGCCGCGUCGUACCGUGGGCCCGGCAACAACGACACGCGGAGCAACAAGGCGCUGCCCAUCCUGCUGUGGUGGAGCGGGAGCCUCUUCCCGCACUUUCCCGGCGACACGGAGCGCAUCGACUGCCCCCGCGGCUCCUGCCUCGUCACCCGGAGCCGGCGGGUGGCCCGGCACCGCCGCACCAAGGCGCUCAUCUUCUACGGCACCGACUUCAGAGCGUACGAGGCGCCGCUGCCCCGCCUGCCCCACCAGACCUGGGCGCUCUUCCACGAGGAGUCCCCCAUGAACAACUACGUGCUCUCGCACUCGCCCGGCAUCCGGCUCUUCAACUACACGGCCACCUUCCGCCGGGAGUCCGACUACCCGCUCACGCUGCAGUGGCUGCCCGGCACCGCGUACCUGCGGGCCCCGGCCGUGCCCCUGGCCGAGAAGGACGCGUGGCGGCGGAAGGGCUACGGCCCGGUGCUGUACAUGCAGUCCCACUGCGACGUGCCCUCGGACAGGGACCGCUACGUGCGGGAGCUCAUGAAGUACAUCCAGGUUGACUCCUAUGGUAAAUGCCUGCAUAACCGUGAGCUCCCCAGUGAGCGACUGAGAGACACUUCUACAGCCACUACAGAAGAUUCUGAAUUUAUGACUUUUAUUGCCAGGUACAAGUUCCAUCUGGCCUUGGAGAAUGCCAUAUGUGACGACUACAUGACAGAGAAGCUGUGGCGUCCCAUGCACCUGGGUGCUGUCCCAGUGUACCGAGGCUCCCCAGCUGUGCGGGACUGGAUGCCAAACAACCUCUCCAUCAUUCUUAUAGAUGAUUUUGACAGCCCCCAAGAGCUGGCAAAGUAUCUUAAUUUCCUGGACAAGAAUGGAGAGGAAUAUUUGAAGUAUCUAGAGUAUAAAAACACCGGUGGAAUCAAAAACCAGUUCUUGCUGGAGAGCUUAGAGAAGCGGGAGUGGGGUGUGAAUGACAUGACUCUGCCCAAUUACCUGAAUGGCUUCGAGUGUUUCAUCUGUGACAAAGAGAACACCCGAGUCAAAGAGGAGCAGGAGCACAAGAAGUCUCAUGGAAAAAUUCCAGCUCCCAGACCUCAUAUAGCUCAGUUCAAGCACAUGGGAUGUCCUAUGCCAACCCCCGGGUUUGGAAGUGUUGAAGACCUCUCUGGUGGAGACAGUUGGAAAGAAAUGUGGCUGCAGGAUUAUUGGCAAAGCCUUGAUCAGGGUGAGGCCCUCACUGCUAUGAUUCAUCGCAAUGAGUCUCAUCAGGGAAGAUUUUGGGACUACAUGCAUGAGAUUUUUCUUAAGAGGACAAGGCAACACUGACCCAUCUUUGUAAGAGCUUGAUUUGAAAAUUGCAUUGAAAGUUGAGACUGUGAAUUCUUACUCACUUCAAAUGUUUGCCUUGAAAAAACAAAACCAAAAAAACUCUCACAGAGACAAUUUUUUCUGGUGCACAAAUGGUCCCUGCAGUUUGGAUACAAGUCUUGAAAUCUUUGUAUGCUGCAGUGGGUGAUCAGAGCCAGAUGCACUGAGAUGGUUUUGUAUCUCUACUGACCUUAACACACUGUGAUCCUCGUCUGCAACCAGAGUUCCUGAGUGUCAACAUGUGGAUUGAUCUUCCUUGCUGCAUAGCCUGUGUUGCUUACAGGUAUAAAUAAAUUCCACUGUUCCCUGCCAUAGUGGGUAUCUUUCUGAAAUAACUGAUCUUGCAGUGCGGGGAAACUAAUUAAUUCAGGGCCAAAGGUUUAACCACACAGGCAAAUACAGCCACACUGCAGUGAUGUCUCUGAUGGUAUAUUGCUAUUUUCUUUCUCCAUUUCCCCUCCUUCAGAAGUUAACUACUGACUAAGGAGCCAGAGUUUCUGUGCUUAGGACAGUUCGUUGGUAAUGAAAGUCUACAGUCUGUUGUGUAAUUUGAUUUUGUAAGGCAGUUUAUGCAUUGCUGUGGGAAGUCUGAUGUCUGUCAGUAAAAGUUAGGAACAGCAGUGACUCUACAUUCUCUGCCUAAUUACAUUACUGUCCAUUGCUUAGUGCUGUAUGGUUCACUUAAUAUCUUUUUGUUUUCCCUCAAAUUCCCCUUCAUAAUGUUAUAGAUAUGGGAUUACAAGUAUAAUAUCAGUAUAAGUAAUGAUCAUCUCAAUGUUUGCCUCUCAGGUGACAUAACAAUAUUGCCAUUUUAAAAUCAGGCAAUCAAUCUUGACAGCAAAGACUUCAGACCCAUGACCAUCACUGGAUUUUUAUAAAUGUAGAAAAUGCAUGCAGUGUACAUUGUUGUCACCUAAUUGUUUUUAGGAGAAGAACGGUUUUUUAUCUCUCUUCUCUAAUAGUGAAGAUCACUCAUCUCAAAUGAUUCUUCAGCUAAAAUGCAUUUAUCAGUUUAAGUUACUUUUUUCAGUUAUUCAGGAGACAUGAAUACCUAAGAGAAUAUAUCUUAGUUAAUUGUUAAACUGGAUUACUCAAAUCAGAUCAGAAAUUACAGAUGUGUAUUCAGGAUUGAAGAGGCCACUUGCUUGAGAAGUAAAUUAAGAUAAAACAAAUUAAGGCUGCUUUAGUUCUGAAUAUUGACUUCUACUAAACAAAUUAAUGAUAUUUAGCUAAGUUGUUUGAAUUAAUGCCUUCAGUUACUCCAUUUCAUGUUUCUGUAUAGAAAAUAAUUCAGUCUUCUUUAACUGCAUUCUCUUAAUUAGCUGUAUCUCCAAACACUUUCUUAUUCAAAUGUUUGGUAGAAUAGAUAGGAGAAAUUGUGAUCUUGCUUUUUGUACUAAACAUAAAAAGUAAGAACCAGGUGCUACCAUAUGCUACUUUUCCUAUUUUAUCCUGUAAUUUAAGCAGAUUUUUCAGAAGUGCAGCAUUCAUAAUACUUUCCCAGUCUUUAAUAUAAUGUACCUACUGUUGCCAAAAUUAGACUUGCUAUGUUUAAUGCACUGUCCCUACAGGAGUAACAGGAGGAAGUGCCAGUGUAGCUACGUGCAUCAGCACCUGCCUAGUCCUUGGUGAGAUGUCCAGAGGCCCAUUUUGUCUUCCUGCUCAGCAACAUGAGCAUGUUUCUCAGCUAACAGUAGCACUGAAGAUGUGGUGGUACAAGCUGAGCAGUAGUUAGCAAAGUAGGUAAAAACUUCUUCCUUGGAGCCCUGAUUUGUUCUUUAGCUAUUUCACAACUGAGUAUUCCUUCACCACUAUAUACUUCCUGUACUCAGCAUAUUACAAUAAACAGCCAACAAGGUUAUUCUGUUAGUCCUGCAGUCUUUGGUGCUUUGCUCUGUCUGUACUACUACAGAAGGCUGUUGCUUUGAGCUUGAUGACUGUUGCCAAGCUGACCAUUCUGAUUGUCAUCUGUCUUCUUAAGGAAGAAGAGUACAGAUCUGAAAGUAUCUUGAUUACAGAUAUUCUAUGGAUUUUAUCUGGUUGUCAAAGUAUACCUUCCAGUUUGUAGAUGAGUCACAAGUAAUUUGAUAGCUUUCUUUUCUGAGUUUUUAGUGUCUUCCUAGGUUUAACUGUUUUUUACAGUCUUAGAGGUGGUGAACUUCUCAAAAGAUAAUGAGUAUUAGCUACCACUCUUUGCUGUGAAGCUCACCCAAGCCUUGUUUCCGUUGUAUCUGCAGUGGUUUUUUCUGUAGUCAUAGAUCAUACUAGCUUUCAUCUCCUCUAUGUCAUAAUACUUCCAUGAUUUAUAAACCAUGUCUCUGUGGCCUCUAUUAAUAUAGUAAAUUUAUUUCACUUUUUAUGUAUGGUGUGCAAGAAUUAAGGCUGGAAUAUUUAUUCAGUGCGUGGUAUGAAUACUUUGUGUAGCUGCCAGGCAAACUCUGCAGGGACAGGAGAGGUGGGAAUCCUGCCCAGCUGGAUAAAGGGUUGUGGUUGCAGUUGUGUUCGAUGCUGCUGACUGACCUUCACAGCAUCUACUGCUCUGCACAGCAAGGACUACAAAAUGUUGAGUAAACAUUUUAGCAUGGUUUUGCUUUCAUUCUCUCCUGUUAUUUGGAGGAGACAGGAGGAGAAGCUGGGUCUCAUACCCUUGAAGAGUUUGCAAUUAAUUUACUUAAUAAUGCAUUUGAAAGGAUUGCUGUUGCUAUACUGGCAAUGUGUACUGCCAGUCGUAGCCAAAGUGAAUUCAAUUUAUCCUCCUAGCUGUCUUUCUACUAAUGCAAGCAUCUGAAUGCAGACAAGGAAGAAGGUCACUACAGCAUUAUUAUUUUGGAAAAAGUUUCCUGAUUUCUGUUCUCAGCUAACUGGAUUUCUCACUGCUUUAAAUCCAAACCAGCAAGAUGGUGGCUGAAUGUCAUCACUCGUAUUCUGACUACUGGAAGGCUACGUGAUACUCAGACUGAACAUGAUAGAUUCAACAUCUAUCUUAAUAAUGUUCUUACAGUGCAGGUACCCAUAUUCAUAAAAACUGAGACUAAUAAGGCAAGGUACCAAAUAUUGAAGAUAUUUAUCUGUGUAAACGUUUUGACAGGAUCCUGCAGACUAGGGUGAGUGGCUGUACUGCUUGUCGUGCAUUGUGCCUGUUUACUGUGUGACUAGAGGGAGGCUUUCAAAGCUGUCAGGAUAGCUUUGUUCACUAGCAUUACUGUUCUAAAAAUAAAUAUCUCCUCAUUACUGCUCACAUGAAACACCAGUAGACUCUAUUAAUGCUGUGUCUCAGAAUUGACUUGACAAGCUGGAAUAAAUUUAUGCCCUCUCAGAGGUGAGAGAUGAGAAACAAAUAACUGACUGAAGGUUAAAAAUCUAGCAGUCCAAGGCAUUGCAUUGAUUGGGCAAGCCCCAGUUCUCAUUCUUCUGCCAAAACUCUGAUACCACAUGUUGCCUAUUUUUUCAGUUAGAAGAUGAUUAUUUUAUUUACUGAACUAGUAGUCUGCAUUUUCUGUCCUUUAGCAAGGACUGCAAUUUGUAGGAAGCAUAUAACCUCACUGAAGAACAUUGAUUUGAUACCUAACAUUAUGAUUUCUGGAACUCAAAAGGAGUUCAGAAAGAGUUGCCUUUUCUUAUUUCAGGCACUGUAGUAAUUUUCAAACUGAAAGAUCUCUGGUUCCUCUCUAAUGGUGAGUAGAAUGAGAUCCAAGCAACAGAGGAUGUAUAGGUUUAGAGGGGAAGGAGAAUGAGCUGCUUUCUCUGGAAAUGAUCUGCAAAGUGAAUCAGCAGAAAUGCUCCUCUUGCAUUUUGACUGAGGGUCGCUUUAAGUGGUGUGGAAGAACAACUUCUAAAGGACUGGGGACAGGAUAAACUGAAUUGAAACUCAGCCAUCAGAGUUUUAACAGGCAUUGCAGUGUUAGACAAGCAGCCAUCUGCCUCGUUUGCUGUCCUGCCAUACACACUCUUCAACAAUAGUCCCAAGAGAGCCACUCCCUUAAUCAUUAGUUGUCAUCUGUUUGGUUGUAUUUAAUUAAGGUUAUUGAUGGAUCUCCAGGCACCUUCUGGGAAGUUGUAUUAAUUGGAAACCUACAGGGUGCCAGGUUCCUUCAUUCUGCAUAGAGACCAGAGACCUCUACUGACAGGCUGAAAUUAAUCAGAGAUAAAAUCCUUUUAGUGAUACAACCAACUGAGCCAAAACCUACAUCAGGCUUUAACUGUACCUCUCUUUAUGGUCCAUUGUCUCAGAGCUGGCAGUGAGAGAUAUAUGGCCCUGCAGAGGGAUUAGGAAGGACAGAGAGGAGUGGAGCAACAGGAUUUGUUCCAGAACUCUGACACCACUAGCAUCUUAAUUUGUGUGCUGUUAAACACAUUUUUUACUGCAGAAAAGACCCAUUUAAUGUGCAAGUGUCUCAGCUAGAGAUGGUUCUGGGAUCUUGGAACGGAUCAGAGCAGAUGAUAAUACUUUGCGGCAUCUCUGAGCAAAUUAGCAGGCACAGGUAAUUUGCAGUGGAAAUGGGCUGAGUUUCCUAGAUCCUGGGAAUUAGGGAUGGCAGCUCAGAACUACUCAGGCUGACAGGAAAAUGCAGGGCAGCUGAUCUGAUUGAGAUAGCACAGGAUAAGGGUUGUUGUGGGAGUUGGGGUGGGGUGUGACACAUCCAGUUGUGUGCAUGAAUACAUUGUGCUGGUAAGAGCAUUAAGUACUAAUACAGUCCAAACACAACAGCUCAGCAGGCAGGAGUUGAGUUGGGUCUGAGCCAACUGGAAUCUUAGCAAACUGGUUGCUUUCAUUGCUAAAGUUAAAGUGGAAGUGCUUUAAAUUUUAAGGCAUCUCUAAUUAAAUUGGUUUAAGGAGGUCAGGGUGAGACGGAUGAGAAUGAAGUGUUGUUGGUGAGGGCAUUACGAACUGGUAUGGUGCAUUCAGCAUAAGUUUGUGUGAAUAUAGUGGAAUUUACCUGAAAGCUGGAUCCAGGCAGCAGUCAAAAAUACAUGGAUAUCAACUCUAUUCUUUUUUGACAAUACAACAGAUUUCUUAGCCUCAUCCUUUAACUGAUUUUUAGGUAGUUGUCUGGAUGUUUUACAUAACUACACCAGAAAGUGAAGAAUACAUGGUGUAAUUUCUCAUCUCUUAAAGAGGUAUUUAAGAAAGCAGUCUCAUUUUAAAGGAUGUAUUUUAUCACAGCAUUGCUAGCACUGUUUUUAAUUGUGACAUAGCAUUCACUGUAGCAUCAUAUGUGGCCCUUAUUCAGUUGUGAUAUAUAUUCUUUUCAAGUCUAAUAUCAAUAGUUUAAACUCUAUGGUUCAUUUUGGUUUUGACCAGCUGAAACUCAAGCUAGGAUUCAGCUUUAAAUGCGUCAAUACAAGAAAAAAAGUUGUAAAUGCUAAUUAGUGAAAGCUAAAGCUUUACAUGGUUAUUAUAGUUGUGCAUUCAAGAUUACCAGUAAAACAUCUCUGGGGUUCACUGUUGAGGGAAUUUAGUUUCUGAGUGUCCCUAUAAAGUCAGCACUUCUGUCCCAUCCAUUAGUGACUUGGUGCUAUGAGCUGUACAAAAUACAGCCUGUAGAGACAUUUGGCUAUUCAAUAACACGGCCUUUUUGUAGUUCUGCAUUCUUCCUUAAAAUUAAUGUGUAAUAUUAAAAAAUACUGUUUAAUAAUAAAACUGUGUCCUGCUACAGACAUCUCUCAUGGUGUGUGCAGACACCAUCAUGUACCUUAUUCUGUCUGCUUGGGAAACUCUUAUGCUGAGGCUCCAAUACAGGACUGAUGCCAAAAAAUUAGUUCUAGUGCAGACAGCAGUAACUUACAGGAAGCUAUUACAA